ACGUACGGAUCCGACGAAAGGUUGGACAGUCGUCUACCGACGGUGAGGUGAGCCGCGGACCAGAAUUCACGUUCCGUCUGAUCCGUGGCUCGGGAAGUUCGCUUUCCGUCCAGUGGAUCCAGACCCGAGAUGAAUGCAGGGACGAGAGUGUUCUUGGCUAGGGCGUGGUUCAGUUGGAAGCUGCGGACUGCUAGAUAGAGGCAAGGAGCGCCGGCGGCCAGACACCAUGGGGUUUCUGAUGCAGCUAAUCGGCAGAUAGAUCCAGUGUCCUUGAGGAAGUUGGGGAAAACUUGGUGCCGGCUCCUGUGGCUGUGAGUGUCUCUGGGGUGGGGGAUUUGGAGGUGGCUCAGCCGGCGGAGCGCGAGGUAGCCAGCGGUGGACAGUGACGACGUACAAAUCUAGUUCGCGCAUGAAGCGGCGGCCAACAGAAGGGAGAGCUCGCCGGCGACGUCGGAGCUGUCAACGGAGAAGAUGAAUCCCCAAGCACUUGGUGGAACAAAAGGUAUACCAACUUGCAGUCCAUCAGAUUUUCAGAGAUUUAGGAAAAAGAAAAUAGAAAUCAGUAAACAAAUCCUGAAGUUAGCGGGAGAGUUGAUUGCUCUAUGCGUCUAGAAAAUUCAUGCUAUAUGUGUCUGCGUUUGGAGGCUGAUUUGCUCUCUGCAUUUACAAAAUUCAUGUUGUA